rnacentral:ncRNA from 1 species
GAGAGCCGUAUGCGGGAGACCCGCCCGUACGGUUCGGAGGGAGGGGAGAUCGAAACCAAUCGGUCUUCCCUACCCCUAU